rnacentral:rRNA from 1 species
GGGUUGUGAGGUUAAGCGACUAAGCGUACACGGUGGAUGCCCUGGCAGUCAGAGGCGAUGAAGGACGUGCUAAUCUGCGAAAAGCGUCGGUAAGGUGAUAUGAACCGUUAUAGCCGGCGAUGUCCGAAUGGGGAAACCCAGUGCAAUUCGUUGCACUAUCGUUAACUGAAUACAUAGGUUAACGAGGCGAACCGGGGGAACUGAAACAUCUAAGUACCCCGAGGAAAAGAAAUCAACCGAGAUUCCCCCAGUAGCGGCGAGCGAACGGGGAGCAGCCCAGAGUCUGAAUCAGCUUGUGUGUUAGUGGAACGGUCUGGAAAGUCCGACGGUACAGGGUGAUAGUCCCGUACACCAAAAUGCACAGGUUGUGAACUCGAAGAGUAGGGCGGGACACGUGGUAUCCUGUCUGAAUAUGGGGGGACCAUCCUCCAAGGCUAAAUACUCCUGACUGACCGAUAGUGAACCAGUACCGUGAGGGAAAGGCGAAAAGAACCCCGGCGAGGGGAGUGAAAAAGAACCUGAAACCGUGUACGUACAAGCAGUGGGAGCACCUUCGGGUGUGACUGCGUACCUUUUGUAUAAUGGGUCAGCGACUUAUAUUCUGUAGCAAGGUUAACCGUAUAGGGGAGCCGCAGGGAAACCGAGUCUUAACUGGGCGUUAAGUUGCAGGGUAUAGACCCGAAACCCGGUGAUCUAGCCAUGGGCAGGUUGAAGGUUGGGUAACACUAACUGGAGGACCGAACCGACUAAUGUUGAAAAAUUAGCGGAUGACUUGUGGCUGGGGGUGAAAGGCCAAUCAAACCGGGAGAUAGCUGGUUCUCCCCGAAAGCUAUUUAGGUAGCGCCUCGUGAACUCAUCUUCGGGGGUAGAGCACUGUUUCGGCUAGGGGGUCAUCCCGACUUACCAACCCGAUGCAAACUACGAAUACCGAAGAAUGUUAUCACGGGAGACACACGGCGGGUGCUAACGUCCGUCGUGAAGAGGGAAACAACCCAGACCGCCAGCUAAGGUCCCAAAGUCAUGGUUAAGUGGGAAACGAUGUGGGAAGGCACAGACAGCCAGGAUGUUGGCUUAGAAGCAGCCAUCAUUUAAAGAAAGCGUAAUAGCUCACUGGUCGAGUCGGCCUGCGCGGAAGAUGUAACGGGGCUAAACCAUGCACCGAAGCUGCGGCAGCGACACUAUGUGUUGUUGGGUAGGGGAGCGUUCUGUAAGCCUGCGAAGGUGACCUGUGAGGGUUGCUGGAGGUAUCAGAAGUGCGAAUGCUGACAUAAGUAACGAUAAAGCGGGUGAAAAGCCCGCUCGCCGGAAGACCAAGGGUUCCUGUCCAACGUUAAUCGGGGCAGGGUGAGUCGACCCCUAAGGCGAGGCCGAAAGGCGUAGUCGAUGGGAAACAGGUUAAUAUUCCUGUACUUGGUGUUACUGCGAAGGGGGGACGGAGAAGGCUAUGUUAGCCGGGCGACGGUUGUCCCGGUUUAAGCAUGUAGGCUGGUUAUCCAGGCAAAUCCGGAUAAUCAAGGCUGAGGUGUGAUGACGAGGCACUACGGUGCUGAAGUAACAAAUGCCCUGCUUCCAGGAAAAGCCUCUAAGCAUCAGGUAACAUCAAAUCGUACCCCAAACCGACACAGGUGGUCAGGUAGAGAAUACCAAGGCGCUUGAGAGAACUCGGGUGAAGGAACUAGGCAAAAUGGUGCCGUAACUUCGGGAGAAGGCACGCUGGUGUGUAGGUGAAGUCCCUGCGGAUGGAGCUGAGACCAGUCGAAGAUACCAGCUGGCUGCAACUGUUUAUUAAAAACACAGCACUGUGCAAACACGAAAGUGGACGUAUACGGUGUGACGCCUGCCCGGUGCCGGAAGGUUAAUUGAUGGGGUUAUCCGUAAGGAGAAGCUCUUGAUCGAAGCCCCGGUAAACGGCGGCCGUAACUAUAACGGUCCUAAGGUAGCGAAAUUCCUUGUCGGGUAAGUUCCGACCUGCACGAAUGGCGUAAUGAUGGCCAGGCUGUCUCCACCCGAGACUCAGUGAAAUUGAACUCGCUGUGAAGAUGCAGUGUACCCGCGGCAAGACGGAAAGACCCCGUGAACCUUUACUAUAGCUUGACACUGAACAUUGAGCCUUGAUGUGUAGGAUAGGUGGGAGGCUUUGAAGCGUGGACGCCAGUCUGCGUGGAGCCAACCUUGAAAUACCACCCUUUAAUGUUUGAUGUUCUAACGUAGGCCCCUUAUCGGGGUUGCGGACAGUGUCUGGUGGGUAGUUUGACUGGGGCGGUCUCCUCCCAAAGCGUAACGGAGGAGCACGAAGGUUAGCUAAUCCUGGUCGGACAUCAGGAGGUUAGUGCAAUGGCAUAAGCUAGCUUGACUGCGAGCGUGACGGCGCGAGCAGGUGCGAAAGCAGGUCAUAGUGAUCCGGUGGUUCUGAAUGGAAGGGCCAUCGCUCAACGGAUAAAAGGUACUCCGGGGAUAACAGGCUGAUACCGCCCAAGAGUUCAUAUCGACGGCGGUGUUUGGCACCUCGAUGUCGGCUCAUCACAUCCUGGGGCUGAAG